UCAGUGUGCCAAAAAUAGGCCGUGGGCAAAGCCGCGCCCAACUUUAACUGCCCGAAGGCCGGGGAGCCAAGUUCGUCCAGCGGAAAAAGGCCACAAAAAUGGGUGGGCUAUAGCCUUGGGGGGUGGGGCUGGCCAACUUCGUCCGCCGGACUCGGAAUGCCGCGAGACUUUGCGAGGGGCCUCCGUGUGCCAAAAAUAGGCCGCGGGCAAAGCCGCGCCCAAAAAUAACCGCCCGAAGGCCGGGGCGCCAAGUUCGUCCAGCGGAAAAAGGCCACAAAAACGGGUGGGUUAUAGCCUUGGGGGGUGGGGCUGGCCCACUUCGUCCGCCGGACUUGGAUUGCCGCGAGACUUUACGAGGGGCCUCCGUGUGCCAAAAAUAGGCCGUGGGAUGUUUAAAAGGUUCGUGGCUCAAAAUUUUAUGUUAUCUAGUGAUAAAAUUUUGUAAUCCAUUUUAUAGAUAGGUAGCAGCAGCAAGUUCCGGGGCGCCAAGUUCGUCCAACGGAAAAAGGCCACAAAAACGGAUGGGCUAUAGCCUUGGGGGGUGAUGCGGUCCAAGUUCGUCUGCCGGACUCGGAAUGCCGCGAGACUUUGCGAGGGGCCUCCGUGUGCCAAAAAUAGGCCGCGGGAAAAGCCGCGCCUAAAAUUAACCGCCCGAAAGCCGAGGCGCCAAGUUCGUCCAGCNNNNNNNNNNNNNNNNNNNNNNNNNNNNNNNNNNNNNNNNNNNNNNNNNNNNNNNNNNNNNNNNNNNNNNNNNNNNNNNNNNNNNNNNNNNNNNNNNNNNGGCCACAAAAACGGGUGGGCUAUAUCCUUGGGGGGUGGGGAUGGCCAACUUCGUCCGCCGGACUCGGAAUGCCGCGAGACUUUGCGAGGGGCCUCCGUGUGCCAAAAAUAGGCCGCGGGCAAAGCCGCGCCUAAAAUUAACCGCCCGAAGGCCGAGGCGCCAAGUUCGUCCAGCGGAAAAAGGCCACAAAAUGGGUGGGCUAUAGCCUUGGGGGGUGGGGCUGGCCAACUUCGUCCGCCGGACUCGGAAUGCCGCGAGAAUUUGCGAGGGGCCUCCGUGUGCCAAAAAUAGUCCGCGGGCAAAGCCGCGCACAAAAAUAACCCCCCGAAGGCCGGGGCGCCAAGUUCGUCCAGCGGAAAAAGGCCACAAAAACGGGUGGGCUAUAGCCUUGGGGGGUGGGGCUGGCCAACUUCGUCCGCCGGACUUGGAUUGCCGCGAGACUUUGCGAGGGGCCUCCGUGUGCCAAAAAUAGGCCGUGGGAUGUUUAAAAGGUUCGUGGUUCAAAAUUUUAUGUUAUCUAGUGAUAAAAUUUUGUAGUCCAUUUUAUAGAUAGGUAGCAGCAGCAAAGUCCCGGGGCGCCAAGUUCGUCCAACGGAAAAAGGCCACAAAAACGGAUGGGCUAUAGCCUUGGGGGGUGGGGCUGGCCCACUUCGUCCGCCGGACUUGGAUUGCCGCGAGACUUUUACGAGGGGCCUCCGUGUGCCAAAAUAGGCCGUGGGAUGUUUAAAAGGUUCGUGUUUCAAAAUUUUAUGUUAUCUAGUGAUAAAAUUUUGUAGUCCAUUUUAUAGAUAGGUAGCAGCAGCAAGUCCCGGGGCGCCAAGUUCGUCCAACGGAAAAAGGCCACAAAAACGGAUGGGCUAUAGCCGUGGGGGGUGAUGCGGGCCAACUUCGUCUGCCGGACUCGGAAUGCCGCGAGACUUUGCGAGGGGCCUCCGUGUGCCAAAAAUAGGCCGCGGGCAAAGCCGCGCCCAAAUUUAACUGCCCGAAGGCCGGGGAGUCAAGUUCAUCCAGCGGAAAAAGGCCACAAAAACGGGUGGGCUAUAGCCUUGGGGGGUGGGGAUGGCCAACUUCGUCCGCCGGACUCGGAAUGCCGCGAGACUUUGCGAGGGGCCUCCGUGUGCCAAAAAUAGGCCGCGGGCAAAGCCGCGCCUAAAAUGAACCGCCCGAAGGCCGAGGCGCCAAGUUCGUCCAGCGGAAAAAGGCCACAAAAUGGGUGGGCUAUAGCCUUGGGGGGUGGGGCUGGCCAACUUCGUCCGCCGGACUCGGAAUGCCGCGAGACUUUGCGAGGGGCCUCCGUGUGCCAAAAAUAGGCCGCGGGCAAAGCCGCGCCCAAAUUUAACUGCCCGAAGGCCGGGGAGCCAAGUUCGUCCAGCGGAAAAAGGCCACAAAAAUGGGUGGGCUAUAGCCUUGGGGGGUGGGGCUGGCCAACUUCGUCCGCCGGACUCGGAAUGCCGCGAGACUUUGCGAGGGGCCUCCGUGUGCCAAAAAUAGGCCGCGGGCAAAGCCGUACCCAAAAUUAACAGCCCGAAGAUCGGGGCGCCAAGUUCGUCCAGCGGAAA
rnacentral:lncRNA from 1 species